UAGCCGUAAACGAUACUCGCUAGGUGUCGGCCACGGUGCGACCGUUGUCGGUGCCGUAGGGAAGCCGUGAAGCGAGCCACCUGGGAAGUACGGCCGCAAGGCUGAAACUUAAAGGAAUUGGCGGGGGAGCACCACAACGGGUGGAGCUUGCGGUUUAAUUUGGAUUCAACGCCGGAAAUCCUACCGGGACCGACAGCAACAUGAAGGCCAGGCUGAAGACUUUGCCGGAUUAGCUGAGAGGAGGUGCAUGGCGUAGUCGUGU
rnacentral:rRNA from 1 species